rnacentral:rRNA from 1 species
UAUGUCUGGGAACUGCCUGAUGGAGGGGGAUAACUACUGGAAACGGUAGCUAAUACCGCAUAACGUCGCAAGACCAAAGAGGGGGACCUUCGGGCCUCUUGCCAUCGGAUGUGCCCAGAUGGGAUUAGCUAGUAGGUGGGGUAACGGCUCACCUAGGCGACGAUCCCUAGCUGGUCUGAGAGGAUGACCAGCCACACUGGAACUGAGACACGGUCCAGACUCCUACGGGAGGCAGCAGUGGGGAAUAUUGCACAAUGGGCGCAAGCCUGAUGCAGCCAUGCCGCGUGUAUGAAGAAGGCCUUCGGGUUGUAAAGUACUUUCAGCGGGGAGGAAGGGAGUAAAGUUAAUACCUUUGCUCAUUGACGUUACCCGCAGAAGAAGCACCGGCUAACUCCGUGCCAGCAGCCGCGGUAAUACGGAGGGUGCAAGCGUUAAUCGGAAUUACUGGGCGUAAAGCGCACGCAGGCGGUUUGUUAAGUCAGAUGUGAAAUCCC